CUGCUGCCUCCCGUAGGAGUUUGGUCCGUGUCCCAGUACCAAUGUGGGGGGUUAACCUCUCAGUCCCCCUAUGUAUCGUCGCCUUGGUAAGCCGUUACCUUACCAACCAGCUAAUACAACGCAUGCCCAUCUGUAACCGCCGAAACUUUCAACCACAAGAGAUGCCUCUCAUAGUGUUAUGCGGUAUUAGUACCGAUUUCUCAGUGUUAUCCCCCUGUUACAGGUAGGUUGCAUACGCGUUACGCACCCGUGCGCCGGUCGCCAU
rnacentral:rRNA from 1 species